UACGGGGGAUGCGAGCGUUGUCCGGAAUCAUUGGGCGUAAAGAGUUCGUAGGUGGUUUGUUAAGUUAGGUGUUAAAUACCGAGGCUCAACUUCGGAAUGGCACUUGAUACUGGCAGACUUGAAUGCUGUAGAGGUAAAGGGAAUUCCUGGUGUAGCGGUGAAAUGCGUAGAUAUCAGGAGGAACAUCGGUGGCGAAAGCGCUUUACUGGGCAGUAAUUGACACUGAGGAACGAAAGCCGGGGUAGCAAAU
rnacentral:rRNA from 1 species